rnacentral:rRNA from 1 species
AGGAUCAUUCGCAAUGGGGGAAACCCUGACGAUGCGACGCUGCGUGGAGGAUGAAGGCCCUCGGGUCGUAAACUCCUGUCAUGAGGGAAAAGGCGAGGGGACCCAACACGUCCCUUAGUUGAUGGUACCUCAAGAGGAACGGGCGGCUAACUCUGUGCCAGCAGCCGCGGUAAUACAGAGGCCCGUAGCGUUGUUCGGAUUUACUGGGCGUAAAGGGCGCGUAGGCGGCCAGGCGUGUCGGAUGUGAAAUCUCCGGGCUCAACCCGGAAAGUGCGUCCGAAACUGCCCGGCUCGAGUGCGGGAUGGGGAAGGGGAAUGCAGGGUGUAGCGGUGAAAUGCGUUGAUAUCCUGCAGAACACCGGAGGCGAAGGCGCCUUCCUGGAACGCAACUGACGCUGAGGCGCGAAAGUCGGGGGAGCAAACA